GGGCAGGAUAGGUGAAGGGGGCCUACCAGUAGAACUGGUGCGCUCCCCUUCACGGGUCUCUUCUUCGCGCCUGCGCGCUCAACGGGGGGACUAUCCUGCGGAGCA
rfam:Nitrospira sp. HN-bin3 contig181, whole genome shotgun sequence.